rnacentral:rRNA from 3 species
AAGACCCCUUGAAGACGACGAGGUAGAUAGGGCAGAGGUGGAAGUGUGGUAACACAUGGAGCUGACUGUUACUAAUAGGUCGAGGGCAUAACCAAA